GACUACCGGGGUAUCUAAGCCUGUUUGCUCCCCACGCUUUCGCGCCUCAGCGUCAGUUACAGUCCAGAGAGCCGCCUUCGCCACUGGUGUUCCUCCUAAUAUCUACGCAUUUCACCGCUACACUAGGAAUUCCACUGUCCUCUCCUGCACUCAAGAUACCCAGUAUCAGUUGCAUAUCCGGGUUAAGCCCGCAUAUUUCACAUCUGACUUAAAUAUCCGCCUACGCGCCCUUUACGCCCAAUAAUUCCGGACAACGCUUGCCACCUACGUAUUACCGCGGCUGCUGGCACGUAGUUAGCCGUGGCUUCCUCCUUGGGUACCGUCAUUUUUUUCGUCCCCAAAGACAGAGCUUUACAACCCGAAGGCCUUCUUCACUCACGCGGCGUUGCUCCGUCAGGCUUUCGCCCAUUGCGGAAGAUUCCCCACUGCUGCCUCCCGUAGG
rnacentral:rRNA from 1 species